UACGGGGGGGGCAAGCGUUGUUCGGAAUUACUGGGCGUAAAGGGCUCGUAGGCGGCCAACUAAGUCAGACGUGAAAUCCCUCGGCUUAACCGGGGAACGGCCUCUGAUACUGGCUGGCUGGAGUUCGGGAGAGGGAUGCGGAAUUCCUGGUGUAGCGGUGAAAUGCGCAGAUAUCAGGAGGAACACCGGUGGCGAAGGCGGGUCUCUGGGCCGAUACUGACGCUGAGGAGCGAAAGCGUGGGGAGCGAACAGG
rnacentral:rRNA from 1 species